CCUACGGGAGGCAGCAGUGAGGAAUAUUGGUCAAUGGGCGCGAGCCUGAACCAGCUAUGUAGCGUGAAGGAUGACUGCCCUACGGGUUGUAAACUGCUUUUGUAAAGGGAUAAACUGAGGCACGUGUGUCUUUUUGUAUGUACUUUAUGAAUAAGGCUCGGCUAACUCCGUGCCAGCAGCCGCGGUAAUACGGAGGAUCCGAGCGUUAUCCGGAUUUAUUGGGUUUAAAGGGAGCGUAGAUGGGUUGUUAAGUCAGUUGUGAAAGUUUGCGGCUCAACCGUAAAAUUGCAAUUGAUACUGGCAGACUUGAGAACAGUUGCGGUAGGCGGAAUGCGUGGUGUAGCGGUGAAAUGCUUAGAUAUCACGAAGAACACCGAUUGCGAAGGCAGCUUACUAAACUGCCACUGACAUUGAGGCUCGAAAGUGUGGGUAUCAAACAGGAUUAGAUACCCGAGUAGUC
rnacentral:rRNA from 1 species